ensembl:snRNA U6 U6 spliceosomal RNA
GUGCUCACUUCAGCAGGACAUAUACUUAAUUGGAAGGGUACAGAGAAGAUUAACAUGACCCUUGUGAAAGGAUGACAUGCAAAUUCAUGAAGUAUCCUAUACUUUU